rnacentral:rRNA from 1 species
UACGUAGGUGGCAAGCGUUAUCCGGAUUUACUGGGUGUAAAGGGCGUGUAGGCGGGAAAGCAAGUCAGAUGUGAAAACCACGGGCUCAACCUGUGGCCUGCAUUUGAAACUGUUUUCCUUGAGUACUGGAGAGGCAGACGGAAUUCCUCGUGUAGCGGUGAAAUGCGUAGAUAUGAGGAGGAACACCAGUGGCGAAGGCGGUCUGCUGGACAGCAACUGACGCUGAGGCGCGAAAGCGUGGGGUGCAAACAGG